ACAAUCGAGCCACUUCAAGGUGACCCGCCGGCUCCGGCCCGCGGGUUGAAACGGGAAGCCGGUGCGUCUUGCGACAAAGCCGGCGCUGCCCCAGCAACGGUAAGCGAUCCGCGCUGACGACCCACACCGCUGUGCCAUGGCAUGGGCAGGCGUCGCAGCCGGGAGGUCCGCCUCCGCCUCCGCCAUCGCCAGCCCGGAGACCGGCCUUGCAGUUCACAGGUUG
rnacentral:ncRNA from 2 species